rnacentral:lncRNA from 1 species
AGAAAACAGGCUGCAAUGUGGGGAAGGAUCGGGAGACUGCCUGUCCUACUCCUCUCCAGCCUGAAGGGACCACAACCAGCAGCCCAGGUGCCCCUGGUACCAAGGAAGAGACUGCCCUGCGGCUGAAGGUUUUUCCAGAUCACCCGGGCCAUGAGGGCAGGGCAGGGAGAGCUUCCAGGGCCUCUGACUGGAUGGGGGUGCCCUUUGAAGUCCGUGGUCGCCGGGAGGACCUGGCCAGGCUUAGGCCGCAUACACAGGCUCACUGCGGGGCGGGGGAGGCCUGCGCCCCUGCUGUACUCGAGGUACAAAUGAAUGGAGCUCCUGGCCAGAAUUUUGACAGUUUCUUCUCUCAUGUGUUAGGAAAACAGAGAGCCAGCAAAGGAAAUCUUACAAACUUUGAUGAAGGAAGUAACCACAAUGGGGAGGUUCGUGAGGCAAGGAACUGAGGGUGGCCUUCAGCUAACAACCAGCUAGAUACUGAGGUUCUCAAUCCAUCAGGCUAUGUGGAACUGAAUCUGCCAAGAACCACACGAGCUCGAAAGCAGACCCGUCUCCACUCAAGCUUUCAGAUGAGACCCCAGCCCUGGCCACCACCCUGAUUGCGGCCUUGUGAAAGAUCCUGAAACAGAGGAUCCAGCUCAUUGUGCCUGGAUUCUUGAUCCACAGAAGCUGUGAGAUAAAAAACGUGUGUUGCUUUGACCCACUAAUUUUGCGGCAAUUUGUUACACGGAUGCCAUUUUCCUCCGAUCAACUGAGAUGACCUGCUCUCCAUUCCUCAAACACACCAGGCUCCCAAUCGUAUAUUCUCUGCUGACUUCACCAUGAGGUCUCUGCAGUCAUGCAUCCUUUAGCCCGUCCUUACCAGGAAAGGGACCUAUUGCUUUUCCACAGGGGUGGGUCUCUUGGGAGCUCUGCCCAAGGCCAUUAUGAUUAGAGUUGCCAUGAAAACUUAAAAGACUCAUAUUUUAAAAUGAACCAGCUU